rnacentral:rRNA from 1 species
CUACGUGCCAGCAGCCGCGGUAAUACGUAGGGUCCGAGCGUUGUCCGGAAUUACUGGGCGUAAAGAGCUCGUAGGUGGUUUGUCGCGUUGUUCGUGAAAACUCACAGCUUAACUGUGGGCGUGCGGGCGAUACGGGCAGACUUGAGUACUGCAGGGGAGACUGGAAUUCCUGGUGUAGCGGUGGAAUGCGCAGAUAUCAGGAGGAACACCGGUGGCGAAGGCGGGUCUCUGGGCAGUAACUGACGCUGAGGAGCGAAAGCGUGGGGAGCGAACAGGAUUAGAUACCCUGGUAGUCCACGCCGUAAACGGUGGGUACUAGGUGUGGGUUUCCUUCCUUGGGAUCCGUGCCGUAGCUAACGCAUUAAGUACCCCGCCUGGGGAGUACGGCCGCAAGGCUAAAACUCAAAGAAAUUGACGGGGGCCCGCACAAGCGGCGGAGCAUGUGGAUUAAUUCGAUGCAACGCGAAGAACCUUACCUGGGUUUGACAUGCACAGGACGACUGCAGAGAUGUGGUUUCCCUUGUGGCCUGUGUGCAGGUGGUGCAUGGCUGUCGUCAGCUCGUGUCGUGAGAUGUUGGGUUAAGUCCCGCAACGAGCGCAACCCUUGUCCUAUGUUGCCAGCGGGUUAUGCCGGGGACUCGUAGGAGACUGCCGGGGUCAACUCGGAGGAAGGUGGGGAUGACGUCAAGUCAUCAUGCCCCUUAUGUCCAGGGCUUCACACAUGCUACAAUGGCCGGUACAAAGGGCUGCGAUGCCGUGAGGUGGAGCGAAUCCUUUCAAAGCCGGUCUCAGUUCGGAUCGGGGUCUGCAACUCGACCCCGUGAAGUCGGAGUCGCUAGUAAUCGCAGAUCAGCAACGCUGCGGUGAAUACGUUCCCGGGCCUUGUACACACCGCCCGUC